UACGUAGGUGGCAAGCGUUGUCCGGAUUUACUGGGCGUAAAGAGCGCGCAGGCGGUCGUUCAAGUCGCGUGUGAAAGCCCCCGGCUCAACUGGGGAGGGUCACGCGAUACUGAUCGACUCGAAGGCAGGAGAGGGAAGUGGAAUUCCCGGUGUAGUGGUGAAAUGCGUAGAUAUCGGGAGGAACACCGGUGGCGAAGGCGGGUCUCUGGGCCGUAACUGACGCUGAGGAGCGAAAGCGUGGGGAGCGAACAGG
rnacentral:rRNA from 1 species